GGAUGUGAGGGCAAUCUGGCUAUAACACCAGUCACCAUGUUGAUCUCCAGGGUUGACUCAGCUGGUCUGGCAGGCUAGGCAGGGUCCCCUUCCUCCCUCAUUGCUCCACGUGGGCUCUCUCAAAGCUGUGCUCUCAGUUGAGGAGGACAACCACCCCGACAGAGGAGGACUGUUAGUGGAGUCAGACCUCAGCACCGCACAGAGGAGCAAGAAUCAGAGAUUUUUACUUGGAGGUUGUCCAGGCAAUGGCUACACUGUGUGGCCUUUUCAUCCUU
rnacentral:sRNA from 1 species